AUUGAACGCUGGCGGCAGGCCUAACACAUGCAAGUCGAACGGUAGCACAGGAGAGCUUGCUCUCUGGGUGACGAGUGGCGGACGGGUGAGUAAUGCAUGGGGAGCUGCCCAAUCGAGGGGGAUACCAGCUGGAAACGGCUGCUAAUACCGCAUACGCCCUGAGGGGGAAAGGUGGGGACCUUCGGGCCUACCGCGAUUGGAUGCACCCAUGUGGGAUUAGCUAGUUGGUGAGGUAACGGCUCACCAAGGCGACGAUCUCUAGCUGGUCUGAGAGGAUGACCAGCCACACUGGAACUGAGACACGGUCCAGACUCCUACGGGAGGCAGCAGUGGGGAAUAUUGCACAAUGGGGGGAAACCCUGAUGCAGCCAUGCCGCGUGUGUGAAGAAGGCCUCGGUUGUAAGCACUUUCUAGUGGGGAGGGAAGGGAAGUGAGUGUCGUAA
rnacentral:rRNA from 1 species